GAAGUAUAAACAACAAUGGACUCGGUUGUCAAUAAUAUUCUUUCGAUUCAAGCCGCUUUCAUCUUUGAAGAACUGAUUGAACUGUUCAUCAAUAUACCUUUCAAUCGUUUUCCAGCUGUAAAAUAAUGUAAAAAUCUUUGUGUUCGGAGACUACCGCUUUUCAACGAUUCUACCUUCUUCGUGAUAUCUUGAUUCGGCUUCAUUAGAUACAUUUUCGUUGUUGAUGUUUGCCCCACAUGUAUAGAAUUUGCGGUUCUCUUUAUGGGUGAGGCAUCCCAAUAGUUCUCAAAACACCACCUGGCAACUUGAGAAGCAUAAUCAUCACUGCGGCGGCAUAGAACAUGAACUUGUAUUUCCUGAAAAGAUUUCGGUAGC